UAUCAAUCUCCUUUGGCUGCUGUGACAAUUGACCACAAAGUUAGUGGCUUAUUACAACACAAAUGUAUUUUCUUACAGCUCUGAGGUUCUGAAGUCGGUCGGCAGGGCUGCGUUCCUUCUCGAGGUUCUAGGGGAGACUUCAUUUUCUUGCCUUUGCCAGGUUUUAGAGGCCACCUGCAUUGCACACAGUCCCACGUCACUCCAACCUCUGCUUCCAUCGUCACAUCUCCACCCUGACUCUGACCCUCCUGCCCUCCUCUUUUUCUUCCAGGCACCCUCAUGAUUACAUUGCACCUGCCCCCCCCCCCCCAUCAUCCAGGAUAAUUUCCUCAUCUCAAGGUCCUUAACUUAGUCACACCUGCAAAAUCCCUUUCGACAUGUAAGGGAGAGAGGAAAGAGGAGUAUCUCCUACCAGGGCUCUUUCGAAGAUCAAGGAUGAAAUGAUACGCCGUACCCUGUUGUGAAAUGAGUGCCACACUCCCUCCCCACGCAGGUCUUGUAAAGAUGUGCCCCUCAACCAGCUUUGUGCCCCUUCACCCAUCACCCUCCUCAAGGGUUGAUGCUGGAAAGACUGAGGUGCAUGCUCAGGUGUAACCCCAAGAGAAGACGUUAUGAAGGAGUCAGAUCCUUGCGCACAAAUAUAAAUCCCUGUGACUUGGACGUACAAAUUCAGACUGAUGAAGACAAGAUGUGUGGGUAAUGCAGUGUCCAUAAGCAGCCUUGUCAUCAGUGAUGUAAGUUUCCAAAAUGGAGAAAACUUCUUGCUUCAAAGUACAAUUACACCCUAAUUUGCACAGAAGUUGCAUCCCCAGAAAUUCAAUGUAUAUGAAAACAUUUCAAAAUAUUAUGUGAA
rnacentral:lncRNA from 1 species